UUAGAGUUUGGAAUCUGGUUCAGGACGAACGCGGGCGGCGUGCCUAAUACAUGCAAGUCGAGCGGACCGACGGGAGCUUGCUCCCUUAGGUCAGCGGCGGACGGGUGAGUAACACGUGGGUAACCUGCCUGUAAGACUGGGAUAAUUCCGGGAAACCGGGGUUAAUACCGGAUGCUUGAUUGAACCGCAUGGUUCAAUCAUAAAAGGUGGCUUUUAGCUACCACUUACAGAUGGACCCGCGGCGCAUUAGCUAGUUGGUGAGGUAACGGCUCACCAAGGCGACGAUGCGUAGCCGACCUGAGAGGGUGAUCGGCCACACUGGGACUGAGACACGGCCCAGACUCCUACGGGAGGCAGCAGUAGGGAAUCUUCCGCAAUGGACGAAAGUCUGACGGAGCAACGCCGCGUGAGUGAUGAAGGUUUUCGGAUCGUAAAACUCUGUUGUUAGGGAAGAACAAGUACCGUUCGAAUAGGGCGGUACCUUGACGGUACCUAACCAGAAAGCCACGGCUAACUACGUGCCAGCAGCCGCGGUAAUACGUAGGUGGCAAGCGUUGUCCGGAAUUAUUGGGCGUAAAGCGCGCGCAGGCGGUUUCUUAAGUCUGAUGUGAAAGCCCCCGGCUCAACCGGGGAGGGUCAUUGGAAACUGGGGAACUUGAGUGCAGAAGAGGAGAGUGGAAUUCCACGUGUAGCGGUGAAAUGCGUAGAGAUGUGGAGGAACACCAGUGGCGAAGGCGACUCUCUGGUCUGUAACUGACGCUGAGGCGCGAAAGCGUGGGGAGCGAACAGGAUUAGAUACCCUGGUAGUCCACGCCGUAAACGAUGAGUGCUAAGUGUUAGAGGGUUUCCGCCCUUUAGUGCUGCAGCAAACGCAUUAAGCACUCCG
rnacentral:rRNA from 1 species